ACGGUUCAGGGGAUGAAGAAGAAGAACAGAAACGCUUGGAAGUGAAGAGCUACGUCUCGUCUCAACCAUUGGUAAUGGCUUUACAUUUCAGUAGAAUUUUAUGGAAAGCACUAAAAAAUUGCUUUGGAUAUUUGGCUCUGCAUAGCAUUUUCACAGUUGUAGGUUAUUUCGAGAGCUGUUGUUUCAAAAAAAAGUUAAAGCUUGAUUGCUCUGAAUUUGGUGCUCUAGAAAUAAAUAUGGUUGUGGACAGCACCUACAGCAACUACCAAUCACCCCCAUAUCUCAGGAAAUCUAAAAUAUCAGAGAGACUUUAUGUAAACGUGAGACCCACAAACAUAAAUGAGUUGCUGACGUGUCACCUCGGAAAAGACUCAACUGGCUCAUUAUAUUAUAGACUAGGGUCGGUCCGCCCGUCCUACGGGCGGAAUAUACUUUUCUUGUGAUUUAUGUUAUUAGUUUUUGUAUGAUUUUGUGGUUUGUAUUUUAAGUCUGUAUUUGCAAGUGAUGUUUAAUGAUUUAUGUCUUCUAGAAAAUUUUAAGUAAGGAGAGAUUAUAUGUGAUAAGAUAUAUUUUGCUUGUUUACAAUAGUUGUUUCUAAAUUAAAAGUUGUGGCAUUGAUAUGAUGUGUAGGCUUCAAAUAGUUUUCAUGUUGUUUUUUAAAACAAAAACUUAAUCUCAUAUUCGGUGUGUUAUUUGUGGUUUGUAAUAUUUUGGAUUCGGAAGGAUUAGAUUGUGGACAAUUGUUUUUGUGUAUGUUAUAAGAGUAAUUACUUUUCAUAAUGAAAUCAUAGUCUUUCAACAUUUCAAACCGCGCGGGAGUUUGUUCAAAUUUUCAAUUUAAUUGUGUUUGCAUUUUAUUUGAAUAUAUAUAUAUAUGAAUUGAUUAUAAAAAUAAGAUAGUAUAGAAAUUUAAAACCAUUUUUUUACUUUUUUGUAUUAAAUUUGAAAUGUUAGAACUCAUAGUUUGUUGUGGGUUUUAUUAUUUGAAAUUAUAGAUUUAAUGAUAUGAGUUAGAAAUUAACUAAUUGUUCAUUUUGAUCUUCUUCUUUUUUGAUCAUUUAGGUUUUACAUAAACCAUCUUUUUUGUUUAUUUCAAAAUUAUUUUUAUCGGGCCAACUAAGUUUGUAGUUUGCAAUCUUUGUUUAAUAUACAUACAAUUUUUUUCAAAAAAAAGUUCAACCAAUGAUUUAAACAUGUUAUUUUUCAUAUACAAUUUGAUAGCCGUAUAAUGUAUAUAACUAUAUUGUAUUUUUUAUGUUAAGAUUUGAAAGUAGGAUUAUAAUUACUUUGAUGUUUUUACGUAUGUAUGUUAGGGCGUAGAUGGUUUAUUAUUUUUUAGAUCAUGUACGUUAUGUAGGGGUGGUUGUGUAUUGUUUUAAGAGUUCGGACCAUAUAGAAUACUCUAUAGUUUUGGUGAGGUUUCUGUGGGUUUCUUGGUUGAAUGUAAUAGAUUAUGCGUAUACAUAUGGGUUGGUUAAAUUAGGAUUUCUUUAUGUUGGGCUUGGAAGUAUGUGGUAAUGAGUAUGAUUUUUUCGUCCAAAAAUUCAAGGUCUUCGUUUGUUACUUUACGGAUACAAUAAUCAAUAUAAGAUAUUUUGAUUUUUAGUUUCCAUCUAAUAAUUUAAUUUUUGUUCAGCUUAAAAUAUAUUGGCUUUCAUUAUUUAUAUUUUGUUAAUUUUAUCAGAAAUCAUAUGAUUCAUCUUACCAUUUAAAAGAUUGUCAUGAAUAUGUAAUUGUUUUACAUUUAAAAAAGUUGGUUCCACCUGUAUUAUGAUAAUAAGCAAAAUGAAAUUUCUAAAACACAAAAAUUAUGAAUUAGUUUUUGUUAAAACUUAUCGGAGUUUCUCGGUAAUGUAUGUGAACAGUUACCGUCUAAUUUUAUUUUGAUUUUUAAUUAUUUUCUGAGAAACUUCGUUAAUUGUUAUAUUAGAUAUAUAAAAAAAUAAUUCACAAUUGUAUUUCAUAGUUGAUUUAUUCAUUAAACGAUCUUUUCCUUAACUUCUUUUAUUUUCUUCUUCAUUUCCUUCUUACUCUUCUCCUGCAAUCUUUUUUCUUCAAUUUCUCCAAGUCUUUCCUUUAACUUCUUCAAAAUCUCUCUUUAUACUUUGAUCUUUCCUUGAUUUCUUUUAUUUUUUUCCUUCGUUAAUCAUAUAUUAUUUCCUUACAAAUCCAGUAUCUACAUUAACUCAUGAGAUCUCCACCUUUCUUUUCUUUGAUCUGACUUUUUGGGAGAAGAUAACCGAACUUAUGAUGCUUACAUUCACUAUCUUUGCUAUUGAACACCAUUGUUUCUUCCAAAGCCACCGCCUUUGCCAUUUUCCAUCACCGCCGUAGGCUCGUAGCUCCUUCCACCGACAGGCCGUAGGCUUGUAGCUCCUUCCACCUCUUUCUUGUAAUGUAAAAACCCAAGUAUGAAGAAUAAGUAAAAAGCAACGUAAGGGACAGAUGUCGACACCAUAUGAGGCAGCCGGAGACGCAGCGGCGAAGCCGGAGACGCAGCGGCAGAUGAGCCAUCUGCAUAUGGAGUAGAUCUGAUUCAUCGUCCAUCGAAGCCUCUUCUCCUCCUCUGCUUAUGAACACAGCCGUUUCCACGUUCUUCGUUGCAGCCGUAGGGUUCGAUGAGCCCAAGAUGUUAAAGUUUAAUGAAACGCUGCAGUUUUCCUAUUGGACACGUGUCAAAACGCCAUAAAAUGAUUUUCCUAUGUGGCAUCCUAUGUGUCUCUCUAAGGAGAGAGCAAACAUGAUUUUAUAUAAAUAGAUUUGUAUG